rnacentral:rRNA from 4 species
AGACCCGAAACCCGGUGAUCUAGCCAUGGGCAGGUUGAAGGUUGGGUAACACUAACUGGAGGACCGAACCGACUAAUGUUGAAAAAUUAGCGGAUGACCUGUGGCUGGGGGUGAAAGGCCAAUCAAACCGGGAGAUAGCUGGUUCUCCCCGAAAGCUAUUUAGGUAGCGCCUCGUGAAUUCAUCUCCGGGGGUAGAGCACUGUUUCGGCUAGGGGGCCAUCCCGGCUUACCAACCCGAUGCAAACUGCGAAUACCGGAGAAUGUUAUCACGGGAGACACACGGCGGGUGCUAACGUCCGUCGUGAAGAGGGAAACAACCCAGACCGCCAGCUAAGGUCCCAAAGUCAUGGUUAAGUGGGAAACGAUGUGGGAAGGCCCAGACAGCCAGGAUGUUGGCUUAGAAGCAGCCAUCAUUUAAAGAAAGCGUAAUAGCUCACUGGUCGAGUCGGCCUGCGCGGAAGAUGUAACGGGGCUAAACCAUGCACCGAAGCUGCGGCAGCGACACUCAGGUGUUGUUGGGUAGGGGAGCGUUCUGUAAGCCUGUGAAGGUGGCCUGUGAGGGUUGCUGGAGGUAUCAGAAGUGCGAAUGCUGACAUAAGUAACGAUAAAGCGGGUGAAAAGCCCGCUCGCCGGAAGACCAAGGGUUCCUGUCCAACGUUAAUCGGGGCAGGGUGAGUCGACCCCUAAGGCGAGGCCGAAAGGCGUAGUCGAUGGGAAACGGGUUAAUAUUCCCGUACUUGGUGUUACUGCGAAGGGGGGACGGAGAAGGCUAUGUUGGCCGGGCGACGGUUGUCCCGGUUUAAGCGUGUAGGUGUGUGUUCCAGGUAAAUCCGGUUCACUUUAACACUGAGGCGUGAUGACGAGGCACUACGGUGCUGAAGCAACAAAUGCCCUGCUUCCAGGAAAAGCCUCUAAGCAUCAGGUAACAUCAAAUCGUACCCCAAACCGACACAGGUGGUCAGGUAGAGAAUACCAAGGCGCUUGAGAGAACUCGGGUGAAGGAACUAGGCAAAAUGGUGCCGUAACUUCGGGAGAAGGCACGCUGACAU